CAGAAUUUCAGUUAUAUCUUAAAGCUAUUAAAUUUGGGGUUUAACAAACUAAAAGAAUUCUGA
rnacentral:tRNA from 1 species